UGAUAAUGAUGAAUUCCGCUUCAUGGUCCGUGUUUCUGAAGUCAGUGACUUGGUGGAAGUUCUGAUACC
rnacentral:snoRNA from 1 species